GUAAACAUAGAAAGACAAAUGUUAGACAUUGAAUCCCAGGUCCAUCAUUACAUGAUUUAACAAGUCAACAAAAGCUUUGAAUUAAAUUUCUCAAAACAAGUCCAAGGUUUUUGAAUACACCGGUACUUUGUAACAAAUAAUGGAUUUAAAAAAUACCAACGGUUGAACUAUCACAGGGCAAUGGUGCGCUGACCUGGCAUUGGCACACUAUCUGUUUUGCCAACCCGUGCCAUUCCUAUUGGCAUUUGAAUCCAUGAAAAAUACAAGUUGCAUUUGAUUGUUGAAGAAUACUUAUAAGAGAUAUCAGUUAACACUUAAUCCCCAGGUUUUCCCCCAGUUUACAUUUCAGAGGAAUCCAAACAGGCAUGCUGAUAAGUCAGGCCAAGUCCAGUUUUGUUCAGGGCAAAUUCUGGUCAAAUUUUUUAAAAAAAAACCCACAUCCACUACCUGCCCCAUCUAUAAUUGAGUUGAAAUGAAUAAAGUCAUAACCGACCAAUCUGUUUUUAUAUGGAUCCAUACUUGACCUGAAAACCCAACUAAGGGUUCACUUGUCGAUCAUAAAAAUGGAGUAAGGUCAACAUUCAGAUAAAGUGAAAGAGAGGAAGAGAAAAUAAAAAUGGAGAAGAACAUGAUAAAUCCUAAACAAAUUGCUCGUUCCACUUUUUUCGUCAAUAUUUUUUGUUCUUUUUCUUAGCUAUGAAGUACAUGGCUUUCCUAAUCACUGAAACCAAGCCUUAACUGACCCAUCACACUGUUAUCACUAAUCCACUACCCUAGAAGCACAGGGGUUAGUUUAAGGGUUUACCUUACCACAUAGCUUAGGCUUAGCACAAUAACACUUGUUAUAAUCUAUUUGUUGUCCACUUGAUCCAUGGUUAGGAGGCCUCCAUAACAUAUGAUUUUGGUUUUUAGGUACCUCUAAUGACAUAGAUCAUGCUGCAUGGAUUCCCCAUUUAUGAAUGUAUUUAUACUUACAUAUGUAUGAAUUUAACCAAAUUUUAUCAUUGCUGAAUAAAUGUAUCUUAAAUGUAAACAAUGUGUCUUUUGUUUAUGAAGCAAAUAAACUAUUGUUACUUUCUCCAUAUAUCAUCAGUUAUAAAUUAUGCCAAGCUCUCAUUUGACUAACUCACUAUGUUAUAUGAGAGAUAAGACGGAAGCAUAUUGUGAGACCCCGGAACUGGGCCCGGUCCAUUUGACCGGCCCAGUCCCAGGUUUCGGCCUCACGUGGUUGCACGUGAGGCACCGGGAUGGAAGGAUCCAUCCCGAAGAAGGAGGAAGCCCUGUUUUUAGGGCUUCUUCUCCUUCUCUUUGAGGCCACCCGAGUCCUCUCUUCUUCCUUGUGCAGCCGCCCAAGAGGGAGAGAGAGGGAGAGAGAGAGGGAGGGAGCCGUCGGUGCCGGAUUUCUUUUUCGGGUGAUAUUCUUCCUCUGUUUGCCGCCGGAAGGGAGCCGCCGGAUCUUCGCCGGGGCUGAGAUCCGAAGAAUUAGCUCGAUCCGGGGUUUUACAAUAUGGGAGUGCGAAUAAAAGAAUUAUGGCUCAAGUUAUCUUAGAUUAGGUUUUUAUUUAAUUUAAUGUUCCAUCUUUAUUGUUCCGCUGCGUAUUUAGAAUUGUGAGACUUUAUAAUUUAUGUCAGUCAAUGGAAUAAGAUUGCAUUUAUUUCAGUUGAAUUAAUUUAGAAUUACAUAAUUGAGGUGUUUUGGUUUAGAUGCCUUGCAUGCUCGUGGGGAGAGUUCCCUACGGGUGUGCGGCGGUUGGCGCGGACCCCCGGCUCGCGAUCUCGGGCCGGGGGCGUGACAACUUUUAUGGUAUCAGAGCAUGAAUGGAUAAAUUUUAAGAAAAAAAAAAAAAACUCUGACAUGACAUGAGUGUAGGUGGGUAGACACUAGGGACAUUGGGACGUUAGUUUAUGAUGAUUGUAACAACCAUUCUGGUUUCUGAUGUGUUGACGACAGGUAUUAAUCUAGUCCCAAUAUUUAUUUCUAUUUAUUGUCUAACCAUACCCACUACUCUUUGUUAGAUAACUCAUUAUACUACUAGAAAAGAUUAAAUAGUUACAUAACAUUUUUGAUUAGUUGUCAAAAGAAGAAUAUGAACUUUUAAAUUUCGAAAGUGUUCACACGGAUUAAGACAUAAUAAUGAAUGUACCAAUAAGCAAGUAAUUCUAGGAAAAAAAAAAAUCUAGACUUGACAUGGGUAUGUUGAGGUUUAAACCAGUGUGUGCAGAGGAAGUGUGGUGAAUGGAAUUAUUUGACAUUGGUCAGACAAGACGACUUUGAUUUGAAGACUGUUAUGACUUGAUUUGAAAGAAGUAUUUUCUACUCUUGAAUUGCAUGUACGAAAAUUUCGUGGACGAAAUUUCUUUUAAGGGAGGAAGGAUGUGAGACCCCGGAACUGGGCCCGGUCCAUUUGACCGGCCCAGUCCCAGGUUUCGGCCUCACGUGCGUUGCACGUGAGGCACCGGGAUGGAAGGAUCCAUCCCGAAGAAGGAGGAAGCCCU